UUAAGCAUAUCAAUAAGCGGAGGAAAAGAAACCAACAGGGAUUACCUCAGUAACGGCGAGUGAAGCGGUAACAGCUCAAAUUUGAAAUCUGGGUCUUUCAGGCUCCGAGUUGUAAUUUGUAGAAGAUGCUUCGGGUGCGGCUCCGGUCUAAGUUCCUUGGAACAGGACGUCAUAGAGGGUGAGAAUCCCGUAUGUGAUCGGUUGCUUGCGCCCAUGUGAAGCUCUUUCGACGAGUCGAGUUGUUUGGGAAUGCAGCUCAAAAUGGGUGGUAAAUUUCAUCUAAAGCUAAAUAUUGGCCAGAGACCGAUAGCGCACAAGUAGAGUGAUCGAAAGAUGAAAAGCACUUUGGAAAGAGAGUUAAACAGUACGUGAAAUUGUUGAAAGGGAAGCGCUUGCAACCAGACUUGCACGUUGUCGAUCAUCCGGUGUUCUCACCGGUGCACUCGAUCUCGUUCAGGCCAGCAUCGGUUUUGGUGGUUGGAUAAAGGCCUUGGGAAUGUGGCUCCUCUCGGGGAGUGUUAUAGCCCUCGGUGCAAUGCAGCCUACCGGGACCGAGGACCGCGCUUCGGCUAGGAUGCUGGCGUAAUGGUUGUAAGCGACCCGUCUUGAAACACGGACCAAGGAGUCUAACAUCUAUGCGAGUGUUUGGGUGUCAAACCCAUACGCGUAAUGAAAGUGAACGGAGGUGAGAACCCUUAAGGGUGCAUCAUCGACCGAUCCUGAUGUCUUCGGAUGGAUUUGAGUAAGAGCAUAGCUGUUGGGACCCGAAAGAUGGUGAACUAUGCCUGAAUAGGGUGAAGCCAGAGGAAACUCUGGUGGAGGCUCGCAGCGGUUCUGACGUGCAAAUCGAUCGUCAAAUUUGGGUAUAGGGGCGAAAGACUAAUCGAACCAUCUAGUAGCUGGUUCCUGCCGAA
rnacentral:rRNA from 1 species